UGGUGGGAUUGCAGAGUGGUACAACCAUUCUGGAAAUCAGUCUGGAGGUUCCUCAGAAAAUUGGACAUUGAAGAACCUGAGGAUCCAGCUAUACCUCUUUUGGGCAUAUACCGAAAAGAUGCCCCAACAUAUAAAAAAGACACGUGCUCCACUAUGUUCAUCGCAGCCUUAUUUAUAAUAGCCAGAAGCUGGAAAGAACCCAGAUGCCCUUCAACAGAGGAAUGGAUACAGAAAAUGUGUUAC
rnacentral:lncRNA from 1 species